rnacentral:rRNA from 1 species
GGGUCAUUAGGUUGGUCGUGCCACCGGUACGUACUGGUCUCACUGAUUCCUCCUUCCUGAAGAACCGUAAUGCCACUAUUUUGGUGUUGCGGGGAAACAGGACUGUUACUUUGAAAAAAUUAGAGUGUUUAAAGCAAGCUAACGCUUGAAUACAUUAGCCUGGAAUAAUGAAAUAGGACGAUCGAUCCUAUUUUGUUGGUUUCUAGGAUUGACGUA